CUAGUGAACCUGCGGAAGGAUCAUUG
rnacentral:rRNA from 1 species